rfam:Stegodyphus mimosarum contig63710, whole genome shotgun sequence.
GCCUUCGUGGUGUAGUGGUAGCACACUCGGCACGUAUUCGAGAGGUCCAGGGUUCAAAUCCCGAGGAGGGCA